CCCUUCGAUGUUCUGGGAUACACGCGUGUUACAAUGAUAUAUUCAAUAAGUAUAAUUAAUUCCUUCCUCGAAGGAGGUGGGUAAUCUUAAAUGUAUAUCAUACUGGGGAUUGAUCAUUGUAAUUAUUGGUCAUGAACGAGGAACUCUUAGUAAGGGUAAGUCACUAACUUACCCUGACUACGCCCCUGUCUUUUGUACACACCGCCCGUCGCUCCUACCGAUGAAAGGUCCGGUGAGGACUCAGGACGAUCAUGGAUAUUGAAUACAAUGUAUUCAUACCAUGUUUAUUGAAAUUUGUUCGAACCUUAUCUUUUAAAGGAAGGAGAAGUCGUAACA
rnacentral:rRNA from 1 species